rnacentral:lncRNA from 1 species
AAGAAGAGGACAGGACUUUGGCAGCCAUCUGCAAACUGUGGCGGGCAAUUUGGCUCCAGCAGCCAUCCUGCCUUGUAAAGAGAGAGCAAACAAUCCCUUUGUCCACAGCUCCCGGGCUUGCCUGGGCACCCCAGUCAGGAAGUGCUCUUUCAGCCCCCAAUCUCCCCUCCAUCAAAGCCUUCUUUUUCAACAUAGUGCUUUCCUGAUCAUAUUAUCUGACUGCUCUAGUGAAACAGCCUUCCCUGUACUCCGCAAGGAGGAAUACCGAGCCGUGGCAAGACCACCUCCAUGCUCUGCCCUCACAGAGCAA